rnacentral:tmRNA from 1 species
GGGGGUGAUCGGUUUCGACAGCGUCUGUUGAGCAAGGAGAAGCGGGCCGAGGAAGGCGACGAUGAUCUCGUUAACCACCCGUCGCAAAAAAUCAAGCGCCGAGAACAAAACUCAGCGCAGUGUCGCCCUCGCCGCCUGAGCGAGUGUGACACUCGUCAGUCCGGGUUCUCCUCCGCCCCGGGUACUGGCGCCAGCUAGGAGGAUUACCGAAGGAUCCGGUCGCGGGAUCCGACGGGACAUCUCACAGCGACUGGGCCUGUCGCACCAGCACGUUCGCAUGACUGGUGAGGUCAAGUAGGGACAAGGCGGACUGCGCCCGGAGAAGGCCUCGUGAGGCAACGUUGGACGCGGGUUCAAUUCCCGCCACCUCCACAG